GCUCCGUUGGUCUAGUGGUAUGAUUCUCGCUUAGGGUUUACCCUGAGUUCCUCCGACUUGCGAGAGGUCCCGUGUUCGAACCACGGAUGGAGCC